AGGAUUUUACUAGAAGCUUUUAGGAAAAGUAGCUUUCUCUUUGCCUUUCAUCUCUUUGCCUACUCUGCUGACAAUACAGAAACUUAAGUUGUAACCAGAAGCAUAAAUAAAGGUGGUAAGACUGGCUGAACAAAAGAAAGGAUUCAGGAUCUAAUAGUGCCUUAGAGCUUCCAUACUGUCCCCGAGCUGUCUACCUCCAGAUUCCUUGCUUCAUGGGAAAAACAUAAUCUCUUCUUUGGUUAAGCCACUGACAUUAAGUCUCUUACAUGCAACUAAAUAUAAUAAACAGAUACUGUUUCUACUAAUUCAGCCUCAUUCCCAUUGGCUCCCCUAACUCAUCUUUGUGUUAUGCCCUUGGACUUCCCUUCUGUCAAUUUUUAUGUUUUGGGUUAUAUAAUUUCACCUUUUACUACCCACUCUGAAGAAAGGUUCUUUCUAUUGACAAUUAGCCUUUCCGUAUCAUAGACAUUUCUUUAAUACAGCUGAAUUCUCACCUUUUCUGUGAAGCCUCCUUUAACAAACCAACCAGUCUUUGAACUGCUACAGCACAUAUGCUUUCUACUAUACUAAAUUAAGCUAUUAUUUGUUCUAUAAUUUUGUUCACUUGUGUUAACUUUAACACUCUGAUAAUUAUGCAUUCUUUAAGGGCUGGGGUUAUUCCUAAAUUUAUUAGGGUAUAUAUUCCGAAAGGCAGAGGCAAAUAUUAUAUCCAAAUCUAUUCACCAUUUUUCUCUUCUUCCUGCACCACUUAUAUGUCACAAAUUAUCAAACAUAGGCUUCAGAAAUAUUAAAUACAUAUGUGUACAUCUAUAUCUAUCUAUCUAUCUAUCAUCUAUAUAUCUAUCAUCUAUCCCUGAGUACCAACGUAUAUAGCAGAAAAUUAAAAACAAAACAAAAGCUUUGUAUUCACGUUCCUCUUUUCUCACCUAUUGUAAUUGUGUAAAAAUUUUGUGAGGGAUUAUUUAUAAGAUUAAAAAACAUAGCUAUUUAUUGCCCAAAUUCAGAAAAACGUAAUGCAAAAAUAAUAAAAUAACAUGUUUGUUUACACUUCUGUCCUCAAUUACAUUUGAAUGAAGGGAUACCAAACCUUUGAAGGGUGAAAUAGGUUCAACUUAAAGAUUUUCUGACAUCUUAAAUCCUUCUAGCAAAGAAUCUUGUAUAUUAUUUUAAAACUCUAAUCACUCUCGCCUAGGUCUGGGAGAACAGAUUGUGUUAGUAUUAAAAUCACAGCAGUCAUUCCAACAUAAAAAUCACCAAGGGAAAAAUGAAGAUAUGAAUGCAGUAGGAUUUUUUCACACUCUAUAAAGUUUUCCUCUUGUUAAGCUUUAAAGAUUUUCUAGUGUGUGUUCAUAUUAGCACUAUUUCUAAAUAUCUGACAGUUGUUAGACCACCUAUAAUAAAUGAACUAGUAUUGAAGAUAAAAAUGUGCCUACACUAACCAUUUCAAAUAAAGUACUUUGGAGAAAGUGAAAUAGCUUCCAUCCUAAGAAAACCUUUGCGGUCUAUGUAGGCACUUACUGUUUCAUGUGUGUUGUAUUGUGCAAGUUUGGAAAUAUUCUUUCCCUUCAGUUCUCUUAAUUUUCCAAAGCAUACUCCUGCUCUUGUUGGAAGAAUAUGGUUUGAACUCUAUGGUAGUGCUAACGCAAGCUUCCAUCAACAUUACUUUGGGCCUUACCUGCUGUCUUGACGAAUCACUUUAAAUGCCAAUUCAUGUAUCUCCUCCCUACUCCUACCAGUUUCUCUACCUCACCUUUCAUAUUUGUGGUAGAUUAGGUCCACACUAGGAAUUAGUAUUACAUUGUUAGCCUGACAUUUAAACUUGUAACUUUCUGGAAGAAGGUCUUUUGUGUUCUGUAAGUGGGUGGGGAACCGGGAAAUUAGAAAAACUUUUCCCUGGCACAAUAUGCCAAAGGCAAGUGGAGGCAGAGAUCAAGUAUAGAUCCUUCCUGCUUAAAACUGGCUGUCUAUGGCACUUCCAUGGCUCCAUGGCUUCAUGAUCUUUUUGAAGAUCAGGAGGCAGAUGUGUCUACAUGAUCCUCUUCAGUUUGUAUAGCAGCUCUGAUUGGCUGAAGCUUCUUAUUAGGUGUCUUUGCUUUAGAACAAUGAUAUUAAUCAUGUAUCUAUUCAAAGUUUAAGCUAUACCCCCCUUUUAAAGCAAUCUUCUCCUCCAUAUAAUUAAAAAGAUAACCCUUGUAUUGAUACUGUCAGAGUAUGAAUUUAGGAAAUAAGGCCAUCUUUAGGCUAAUUAAAUUUUCUAAAUUUAAAAUACUCAAAGGUCCAUAUGAUUUACUCAUUACUGUGGCCAUUGUUGAUCAGUAAGAAGUCAUUAAGAAUCUCAUAACAAGUGAUACUUACAGAUCCUUAUAGAAUUAAGAAGAUUUAGGCCAUUCGGAAGUUCUGGCCAUACAGCCAGAGUCAUAUGCAGGGCCAGUCCUUGAAGUGACCUCAUUUGGAACACAAAACCCCACUGCAGAAAAACCUGGUAUUUGGUGGGUUAUCAGAUCAAUUACUCAAGUAUGAGAACCUGAUACACUGGAAGGGGAUUUUUUUUUUUUUUUUCAGUAUAUGCCCAGAGCCUUAAGUCAGGUCAGAUUAGCCCCAAAGAGACUUCAAUUUUGAAAGAGUUAAAUAAAUUCAUCCAUAUUAUAAGCAUGACUGAUUUGUGAGUGUACAUUGGGAUCAAGGUGAUGAGAGAUUCAAUGGCUAAAACUAGGUGUUUAUAUAUGUGUGUUUACGUCCAUAUUGAAAUAUUGUGCACGCUUAAGCUUUUGAUUGCUUCCAUUCCCCACCGAAUAUUCAGCUAGAUAAUAGAGUUAUAUUUUUCAAAGAUGUAUACCUUUUACAUAUCUACUUGAUAGUAUUGUACUUGGAAAUAACCUUAAUUUUCUGAAAAUAUAAACUAUUUGUGUGAAACUCAGUAAGUUUUCCUUUGUUUUUUAAGUGUGUAUAAAUCAUUAUUAUUAUCUCUAAAAAGUGGUUCUCAGGAUCAAAUUCUGCCAGCAGCACAAGAGAGAUAGAGUGCAUGGUAAAUACACCUGUAGUCCUGAAACCACAUAGAUCUCUAAUGCUUUCGUUUGCACUUUUGUUGGUGACCAGUGUUGGAGGAAGGUGAUUGCUUUCUUUCUUUUAUCAGUUUCUAUUUGUGUGGUGAACUUUGCUUUCUUAUCUUUCCUAAUUUACUAAUCACAAUGAGUUUAGUUUACUUGCUGAGGUUUGCACACAUUUCUUACUUCCUAUAGUGCUCUCUGUGAUAACAGGGAUAAUCAUGAAGAUCUGAAGGUGCUUUCUAUCAUUUGAAAACAAAAACAAAUCUUUAGUUGUCCUGUUAAUUGAGGGUUUUACAACUCAUCAAACUUUCUCUGACUUUGUUUCUUCCAUAUCCCCGAAGUCUAUACAGUGCCAUCCAUAAGGUUUUAAAAGUUUUAAAUUGUAUUUGCUUUACAUAUGAAACUCAUCAUCACUAAAUUGUAAACAUCUCAAAGUUAAAAAUGUUUUGAUAUGAGGGGGUAAGAUUAUGUCCACAUAUGUUGGUGUUUUAAGACCUAAAGUCUAACCCUCUCCAAAGGAAGUAAACAAGAGGGUACUAAAAUGUUGUGAGAAAUCAAAAGUCAAAUAAGCUAUUGUUCUUUCAUUGUUCACUGUUGUUUGAUAAUCCCACUGUGGAUUGCUAAAUUAUCUGUCAAAAAUCAUCUCCUUGGAACAAAUCUAGUUCAUAUUUUCUAUAUCCAUGCAUAGCACAUGGAUCUAUUCAAUACCUGCCUGUUGACUUUAAAUAUAAAUUAUCUCUCUGAAAACAAAAUAAAAACAAUGAUGUCACUUUUGUUUUUCUAGCAAAUCAGUAAAAUUGAAAAGUUUAAUGACAUUUAUUUUUUAAAAGAGUGGGGAGCAGUAAGUAGUCCAGUAUAGUAUUGAAAAGUAUAUAUGUUGGAACAAUAUUUUAAAAGUCUGUAUUUAUCUAUAAAGUUUUCCCAAACUUUAUGCCCCAGUAAUUCUAAGAAAAU
rnacentral:lncRNA from 1 species